CUACGGGAGGCUCCAGUGGGGAAUAUUGCACAAUGGGAGAAACCCUGAUGCAGCAACGCCGCGUGGAGGAUGACACAUUUCGGUGCGUAAACUCCUUUUAUAGGUCAAGAUAAUGACGGUAGCCUAUGAAUAAGCGCCGGCUAACUCCGUGCCAGCAGCCGCGGUAAUACGGAGGGCGCAAGCGUUACUCGGAAUCACUGGGCGUAAAGAGCAUGUAGGCGGGUUAAUAAGUCAGAAGUGAAAUCCAAUAGCUCAACUAUUGAACUGCUUUUGAAACUGUUAACCUAGAGUGUGGGAGAGGUAGAUGGAAUUUCUGGUGUAGGGGUAAAAUCCGUAGAGAUCAGAAGGAAUACCGAUUGCGAAGGCGAUCUACUGGAACAUUACUGACGCUGAGAUGCGAAAGCGUGGGGAGCAAACAGGAUUAGAUACCCUCGUAGUC
rnacentral:rRNA from 1 species